ACAAAGAGCAUGCGGGAGGAACAUUAAGGAAUAUAGGCUUCGCAGCCGCUAUUCUCACCCUUUUGUAUGCUAAACUUUGUUGCUUUGGCGGGCUCCCGGCCUUGCGGCUGGACAGCGCCCGCCAGAGGACCGAAACUCUUGAAUCGUUGCCGUCUGAGUACUAUCUAAUAGUUAAAACUUUCAACAACGGAUCUCUUGGUUCUGGCAUCGAUGAAGAACGCAGCGAAAUGCGAUAAGUAAUGUGAAUUGCAGAAUUCAGUGAAUCAUCGAAUCUUUGAACGCACAUUGCGCUCCCUGGUAUUCCGGGGAGCAUGCCUGUUCGAGCGUCAUUACAACCCUCACGCCCAGCGUGGUCUUGGGCUCGCCCGGCACGGGCCUGCCUCAAAAUCAGUGGCGGCGCCGUCCGACCCUCAGCGUAGUAAUACUCGUCGCUGCUGGGCUGCGGGUGGUGGCUUGCCAGCGACCCCCCACUUUCAAAGGUUGACCUCGGAUCAGGUAGGGAUACCCGCUGAACUUAAGCAUAUCA
rnacentral:rRNA from 1 species